rnacentral:lncRNA from 1 species
UGACUCUGAUAACGAACAUCGUGACUCCCUUGUCUGGCAUACGGGCAAUCUCUGAGCCUGUGGCCAAACUUGCCAACACCAAUGAAACCUCUUUGUCCAGCCAUACACUCUACGGGAUGCGUCCUACCACACUCAGCACAUGGGGGAUAGAUAGGUCUAUUACUCAUGCUGUCCUAAAAUCUAGACGAAGUAGGCUUAUUACCCUGUUUCUAUCUGAUUUUUUAUGCGGGAGCACUAGCUGAUAAAGGUACUGGCACAAAAAAACAGCUCUAGAACUGAGGGAAGAUCCCUUUCAAAAAUCUAGUCUGACUAUACCCCUGCUGGUUUGAUCUGAUUCUCUUAUUCCCCCACACACUCUCUCUCUCCUUCACCUUAGCCACUUUAAUCUGUUGAACAUAUAUCAUUAAUCUAGAAAGAUCCAUG